rnacentral:rRNA from 1 species
GAUGAACGCUGGCGGCGUGCCUAAUACAUGCAAGUCGAGCGAACGGACGAGAAGCUUGCUUCUCUGAUGUUAGCGGCGGACGGGUGAGUAACACGUGGAUAACCUACCUAUAAGACUGGGAUAACUUCGGGAGACCGGAGCUAAUACCGGAUAAUAUUUUGAACCGCAUGGUUCAAAAGUGAAAGACGGUCUUGCUGUCACUUAUAGAUGGAUCCGCGCUGCAUUAGCUAGUUGGUAAGGUAACGGCUUACCAAGGCAACGAUGCAUAGCCGACCUGAGAGGGUGAUCGGCCACACUGGAACUGAGACCCGGUCCAGACUCCUACGGGAGGCAGCAGUAGGGAAUCUUCCGCAAUGGGCGAAAGCCUGACGGAGCAACGCCGCGUGAGUGAUGAAGGUCUUCGGAUCGUAAAACUCUGUUAUUAGGGAAGAACAUAUGUGUAAGUAACUGUGCACAUCUUGACGGUACCUAAUCAGAAAGCCACGGCUAACUACGU